CCCCGACAACACAGUGUUUCACCUUGACUUCUGUGGGGCCUGGAUACAGAACACUCGCGGUCCACUCUAUUUCUGCAUCUGGCUACACUACACAGGAGGCAAAGCAGCCACUGCUCCAGAGACUGAGACCACCACAGAAUAGAAUGGCUGUGUCACCUGGCUUACCCGCACUAGACAAGGCGGCUCCCAGGCCCUGAGGCUGACAGUUGUGGACCAUGGAUGCGGGGGCACACGGGGACUUCCCUAGAAGAAAUCAAUCUCUUGGCAGAUUUAGAACCUCCCUUGGGACAGAAAAUGCAGCAAGAUACAGUUGUACUUUUACAGGAUCGGGUACCUAGUUUGACUUGACAACUUUUUCCAUCAGCCUCAGCUCCAUCCCAGUCGGGUCCUGUGGAUGUCCGCAGAAUAUGAAUUAGCCGGCUUUGUCCGCUUCUAGAUCCCUAGAGCAUCUGCCCUCAGCUGGGCGCAGGUCUCCGCUUUCCACGUACCACACACACUGCCUCAUGAAGACUCCAGACUCCUCCUCUCCCCUCCGACCCACUGAGCAGCUGGGGGGCAGCGCACAGGCUCCUGGGCCUCACCCCGCCCCCACCCGAGGGCCCUGCUGCAGUGAGCAGAGCGCUGCUUGAUGACAAGAUGAAGCUGUCUGCUCACCUGAUGGGCUGUGGCUCCAUCCCCUGAGGAUCAGAAGAGUGGAUCAGAGCAUGGCAGGCUGCCCCCCACCCUCACCCCUCCUGGCCUCUGUUCUGGUGCCUGGACCCAUGUGCUCAACUCUGGCAUCUCUCCCUCAGGUGGGCUCACCCAACACCACAAGUUUUAACAUCAGCUACAUGCCAAGGGCCUUUCGGCUUUGCCACGCCCCCGCCCCCCCCCCCCCCCCCCCCCCCACCCCAGCAUCCUCCACCACAGACCCAACUGUGAGGCCUGAUGUGGCCCGGUAUCCUGAACUUUCCCACCCCAGGCUCUACCCCUGACAGGCUGUUCUUUCAUACAAGGCCUAAGUCAGACAUUCGAGCUGUCCCUGCCUCCUCCUCUUCUUCGUCGCCCACCAUCUGACCCUCAGAAAGCCUCACUGACUUCAGCUCCAAAAUCUACUGGGAUCCAUCUACUUGGCAAUACCCCCCCACCCCCUCCCUCAGCCCAGGCUGAGACCCCCUCCUCACUGGCAGCUCCAGUGGACUCCUUGCUGGUGUCCCGGCCUACCCUCAUGAUGGAGUCUCUUCCAUCGCACCCCUGCUUUCUCAACAUGCUGCAGUCUCUCUGGCCCAACAGACUUGUUCUUCGAACACCAGAUGCCUAGACCUAGGGCCUUUGUACAUACUCUCCCUAGCUCUCAGAUAUACUCUGUCACCAUUCUCUACUUUAUUAACACCCUGAUCUUAAAACUUAAGCAUGUUUACGUGGUUUCUUUCCACUGACCCCACCAAAGUGUAAGCUCCUCAAGGGAACCUGCCUUAUUGGCACAGCACACAGUACGUGGCAGGUGUGGGAGAAACACAUGCUGAAUACGAUUUCAAAGCACCACUUCCUACCCCGGGGACUGCUCUGGGACUCCGAAAACAAACUGAAACUGCUGAGAAAUGGAUGCUGAGUGUGCUUUUUCUCCAGGCUCCUUGGACCCCAGAGGGUGUCCAGCAUGAGGCCAUCCCUGGCUAUCUGUAAGGAAGAGUGGCACCCAGGUUCGGGAGUCUCACCCUGGACAGGCCCUGGGCCACCUCAUCUGGUCCUCACAACAGCCUUCCAGGCAGGACUAUGUAUCCCCAUCAUGCAGAUAGGAAAGCUGAGGCAAAUGGUAUAGCUAAGUUCUGAACAAGUGACUUGAAGCCAGAGCCCUUGCUCAGCACCUUAGGGAGGAGGCUGUGCUGCCCACAGACCAGUUCUACUAUGGUCCCAGACCAGGACACCCACCUGUGAACUUC